rnacentral:rRNA from 1 species
UACAGAGGUCCCAAGCGUUGUUCGGAUUCAUUGGGCGUAAAGGGUGCGUAGGCGGCGCGGUAAGUCGGGUGUGAAAUCUCGGGGCUUAACUCCGAAACUGCAUUCGAUACUGCCGUGCUUGAGGACUGGAGAGGAGACUGGAAUUUACGGUGUAGCGGUGAAAUGCGUAGAUAUCAGGAAGAACACCCGUGGCGAAAGCGGCUCUCUGGGACGGUACUGACGCUGAGACGCGAAAGCGUGGGGAGCGAACAGG